rnacentral:rRNA from 1 species
UACGUAGGAGGCAAGCGUUGUCCGGAAUUACUGGGUGUAAAGCGCGUGUAGGCGGGAGGCCAAGUCUGCGGCGAAAUCGCUCGGCUCAACUGGGCGGGGUCCGUGGAAACUGGUCACCUGGAGGACGGUAGAGGCGAGUGGAAUUCCCGGUGUAGUGGUGAAAUGCGUAGAGAUCGGGAGGAACACCAGUGGCGAAGGCGGCUCGCUGGGCCGGACCUGACGCUGAGACGCGAAGGCGUGGGGAGCGAACGGG